rnacentral:lncRNA from 1 species
AGGGGUUGCUCCCUGCACAAGGGAGGGGCCGAGAUCCUCGGGGUAUCUGGGAGGAGGCCUGGGUGGCACACACUCUGGUCACCCCGCCCCUCUGACUGGAACAGGGCUCUCCUAGUUCAGCUCUACAAGUGGCAGGUUCUGAUUUGGGACCACAGAGUUCUCGGAUACCGGAACAAGCUGCUGUUUCAAGUUGCCAUUGGCUUCUGGUUCAGCUGGUAUCACAGUAAAAGCAGAAUUCCUACAGGAAAAAGUCUGUUUCUUUUGUGGGCAAGGGACGGGGUGGAGCAGGGAGGGUCUUGCAUGGCCCCUUGGUUACUCAGCGCUGAAGCUCAGGUUAUCCUCUGCAAUGGAGAGAUGGAGGCUCUGGGGGCCGAUCCGCUCUGCCUGAGGAUGUAGAAAGCUGCUCCACCCUGACUGCAUGUCACAGUUUGUUUUGUGCUGCUCUAACAGAAUGUCUGGGACUGGGUAAUUUAUAAAGAACAGAGAUUGGUUUCUUAUAGCUCUAAGUGCUGGGAAGGCCAAGGGUGAGGGUCUUGUGACUUUUGGGGGCCUUCAUGCUGCAUCAUCCCAUGAGCAGAAGCCAGAAGGCAAGAGAGCAUGAGAGAGACAGAGAGAGGGACAGAACAGGGGAAGCUGAACUGGCUUUUACAAUGAACUCACUCCCACACUAACAUGCACAAUACCCCAGGGAUUAAUCCAUUCUCUUGAUGAGGACAUUAAUCCAUUCUGGAGGGUGACGUCUUAUAAGCUAAUCACCUCUUAAAUGUCGCGUCUCUCAACAUUGCUGCCCCGGAGCUUCGGUUUCCAACAUAUGAGCUUUGAGAGACACAUUCAAACCAAUGGACAGUGUCAUAUUGACUGGGGAGAGAGGCCAGAACAUUCCUGGUUCAACAGUGAGUUUUUCCACUUGGCCUUUCCCUGCUUUAUUCUAAGUGGAAACAAGCUUUUAAAUGUGGGACACCCAAUAUAGAAUCGAGACUACAGAAGUUGAUCCUAUGCCAACAAAUAUGCUCUGGAACACUCAAAGCUCUUGAAAAUAAAUCAGUAUUUUGCUUUUCUCCGUUGAGGUUAAACAGAGAGUACAUUUUGUUGAAAUGUCAAUAACAUCUGUGUCACAACCCAGUCAUUGACAACAAACACCACUGUGUCGUUGA